GUGAGCUUAAGGUAGGGAAAUUGCUAUCCUAAAAUAUUUGCAUCUCACACUGAAAUUCUUCCCUUCCAUAUACUUUGAUAUUCUUAUUCCUUUAUUCAACCAUUUGGGAAAUAGUGAUUGAGUGUUUACUAUGUGUCAGGCACAAUUCCAGGCACUUUAUCGACCGUCAUUCUCUGCCUUCAUUCAUUCAUUCCUCUAUAAAGUCACUCAUUAUUUAACUGUGUGUAAGGCCUGGAAUUUUCCUUGUUCUACAUUUUUAUUGAAAUUUCUCUGGGAUAAUUAGGGAAGAAAGGAAGAAACCUAGGGACAAUUUUCCCAGCCAGCUGCAAGAACCUGUCCUAUUGGGGUGUUGGGUUUAAAUGCCUAGAGCAGGAAAGGAGCUGAGUCUCAGCCAUGCGUUUUACUGGUUGGGUGAUGUGGGGAAAUCACUUACCUCCUCAGAGCCUCAGUUUCAUACUCUCCAAAACGGGGGUCACACACUUACUGCAUAGGGCUGUGGAGGAUCAUAUGGGAGGGAAUUCAACUACAAGUGUCAGCACAGGGCCCGGCAUGGCCAAAGCUCUCAACCCUCCACGCGGUGCUGAUGUAAGUUACCAAGCAGCCUUCUUCCUGCCAACACCAGCAGGCAGGCAGCUCACACAGGCAUCUUGACAGCAUCAGGCAGCACAUGAUCUCCCCUGGUCACCUCAGGAAGGCUUCAAGGCAGGGUUACAUUCGGGCAAAGCGAGCCCAAUUGCAGCCUUUGUCUUUAUCAGCCUGAGCAGCAACACAGUCUUGGGGGACAGGGCAGUGACAUUCCAAUUCUCUGACGGCACACUCAAGGGAGGGGAUUCUUGGAAAGAAAUGAGGGUAGCGGGGGCAGACCCACUUUGCUGCAGCUUUUUCUGCUUCCCUUGCAUUUCCCUUUUGGGGAAUUUCCAUUUGCAUCUCCCUCUGUUUCCAAAGCCUCCUAGGAGAGGAGGAGAGCUGCUUCUGUUUUCUGGCCUUUGUGAUUCUGAAGAGCAGCUGAGGCACCAAGGGGUUGGUGGGGUGGGAGGAGUUAUGACUGCGUUCCGGUGCCCCUCCCUGGGUGAUCUACUUCUUGUGUCACAGGAAACCCUGACAGGGUAGGGGGAUUACAUGGCUUCUACCAUGCAUGGAGAUGGGCAAACAUCCAGACAUCUAGGAUUGUUAUGAGUGAAUUUUUGUGCUCCCUUCCACCCAGUUCAUAGGUUGAAUGCCUAACCUCCAGUAUGAUGAUUAGGAGGUGGGUCCUUUGGGAGGUAAUUUGGUUUAGAUGAGGUCAUAAGGGUGGAGACCCCACGAUGGGAUUCAUGCCUUAUAAGAAGAGACUCUAGAGAGAAGUCUCUAAGAGCGUACAGUGAUAAGAUGGCUGUUUGCAAGCCAGAAAGUGGGGCCUCAACAGGAAUCAAAUCAGCCUGCACCUUGAUUUUGUUCUUCCAGCAUCCAGAAUUAUGAGAAAUAAAUGUCUGUUGUUUAAGUACCCAGCACGAGAAGACUAAGACAAAUACUCAGAGCAGAAUUUUCAAGAGAAGCAAAGCAUUCCUGUCCUUUGAAGUUCCCAUCUGUUUCCCAGCUAUAUAAACACCGCAGAGUGCAUGAUAAGUAUGUUUGCUGCGUGAAUGCAAGAACCCUCCUCUGGGAAAAGUCACAAACAAGCUACUUCACCCAUUGCCUGACACAAAGGCAGCUUCCCCCUUGAAUAAUCUGGGAUUGAAAAUGAGUUCAUUCAGCUAUAAGCUCACCGAACGAACACCAAAUUCAGCAACUGUGAGCAGUGCACUCUGUCCCUGCCCUUAAUAAGUGAACAACCCAACUGUCUUCUAGAAGGGUUGAUCACUUUGUAAUUUUGUAAUGGAAACCCUCAAAGGAGACCUCCAAUAAUGAGAACUUCUUUGUCUUUAGCAUGGCCUGGGCCACUCACCCCAUAGAGCAUGAAGCUCUCAUAGGUCUUCAGAUUGGCGAUGGGAGAACGUGACUUUGAGCUUUCAGCUUUUUAUCUCUCUAAAAUAGGACAGAAAAUUUCAGCUCUGAUAUUCUCUGUGGGAUUCCAGAACAACUUCCUUGAGUCUCAGUUUCCCCAUCUGCAAAAAGAAAAUAGUCACAGCACCUACUACCUCAUAGGUUUCUGAUAAGGAUGGAAUGAGUAAUGCCUAUGAGAGUGCCUUGCCAAAUGUGCUACAGGUGUCGUUUGUGUGUUUUAGGGCCAAAAACCCACUUUGAAGCACGGACCCUUCAUGGAAAUUGCCCUUAACUGAUUGGAUGACCGUGGGCCAAUUAAAUGAACUCACAGGGCCUCAGUUUCCUCUUCCAUGAGGGGUCAUUUUGAGGUCUUUCAAAGGGUUGUGAGAAUCAAAAGAAGGGCGCCCAGCACCACGCCCGCCGCGCACACACAUGGCGUUCAGUAAGUGGUUCUCUCCCCUGCACCGCGUCUAGACCUCGUUUCUCCACAGAGAGUGGGUGGCAGGAAUUUUCCAAAUCGGCUCGAUGUCCCCACUCCAUCGCUUCAUGCACUGGCCCAGGACACACCCAUAGUUUGGCGAAGUGCAGACUUGGAGAAACUUGGGGGAGAACGGAACCCAAGGCCCAGCCCCGCGCACGCGCGCCGCAGCCUUCGCCCAGAGCAGCGUCUGCUAGUUACCUUUCACCUACUUCGCUGCGACUCGCCGCGCGGGGUAACUCGAGGUCAGACUCGGGGCCCCGCGCGCUUGCGCGCCGCCCGCUGCCCGCCGCCCGCCGCGGCUGGGAGUCCGGAGGUUUCAUCUUGUGAUGGUUUCGGUUCGGCUCUCAAAUGGAGGGUGUGAGCUUUGCAGACGUGCCCUAAUUCUGGGUCUGGCGGGGCGACAUUGGGCCCUCUGAGCUGCCACCCUGGCCCUGACGCCCCAUUACUCCUCGUUCCUUCCUCCCCCCAUCUGUUGUCACGCUCUCCCUUUUCCCACAGCUGGCCCCUAUUCAGCUGUGCCGAUUGCCCCACAUCCCUUCUUCCUGCAAAAGGCAGAUGGGAAGGGAGCUCUGUCUGGCCUAUUCCGGACAGAGCUCCGGGCUUCCGAGUGGAGCAUGAGCCCGCGGAAGAGCCACAUGGCUACGUUGAAGACAGCUGGGGCUGCCGCACGCCUCGGGGUUACUGUCGGGCACCCGGCGGGCGGGGCCGGCGCUGGGGCGGGGGAGGGCUUCCUCGCCCUCAGAAACCACAUUCGCAGAAACGUUUUUAACUGGCAAGGUUUCGAGUUCCCAACCACAGCACCCUCAGUGAUGGUUUUCAGAAGACCUUGUUAGCUCCUCUCCUCCAGAGACCCAUCCUUCGCUGACAUCCCACCGAUUUGGGAGCAGGAAAAAACAGACUCCUGCAAAAUACCUCUUCUUCCAGUGCCCUGUACCCCUCUCUACUUACUUCGAGUCCCUGCAGUCCAGCAACAACCCCAAACGAGUGAAGGGAGGAGACAUAGGUUUGUCCAGGCUCUGCCACCGACGGGUGAUUUGGGAUGAGUCCUUCUCCAGUAUCAUUAUCUUCAACUGUAAAACAUGAGGGUUAGUCCGAAUGAUCUCCAAACGCUUCAGCAUUAAAGUUAGGUGAUGAAUCCUAAGAUUUUGCAGUUCUAUAAUGUCACAUCUCCUCCGUUUCAGAGAGGGCCCGCAGGGAAUCUUGUUAAGGAUAACUGCCAUCGAAGUUACAAGUUUGUUCUGUGAUUGAAGAGUUUCAGGUCUUCUAGAUUUCUUUGGCAUGACGCAUAACUAUUUCAAGAUACUAACAUUUGGGCAGGGCGUGGUGGCUCAGGCCUGUAGUCCUAACACUUUGGGGGGCCGAGGCGGGCAGAUCACCUGAGGGUAGGAGUUAGAGACCAGUCUGGCCAACAUGGUGAAACCCCGUCUCUACUAAAAAUACAAAAAUUAGCCGGGCGUGGCGGUACAUGCCUGUAAUCCCAGCUACUCAGGAGGCUAAGGCAGAAGAAUCGCUUGAAUCCAGGAGGCGGAGGUUGCAGUGAGCUGAGAUCACGCCACUGCACCCCAGCCUGGGCAACAGAGGGAGACUCCUUCUGAAAAAAAAAAAAAAAAAAAGAUACUAACAUUUAAGGUUAAGAAUGUAGGUCAUUUCCCCAGAGGACUAACAGACUCGAGGGCACACACCCCAAAUUUUAUUUCUUUGACUCUGUCAUUGCCCCCAGAACAGUAUAUAAUGUAGCCAAUUGUUGUGGAUUUAUUGUUAAUGAAUAAAAUAAAAUUUGUGACUAGCAGGGAUAGGGGUCCUAUGCUGUCAUUUUAAUAUGAAUAGAGUUUUUAAAAACUCACAGAUAAAUGUAUCACAUGAGAAAAAAAUACAAAGGCUGAACAUAGAGCAGCAAUGUUAAUCUGAUAAAUCGUAAAUAAGUGUAUACAUUUUAAUAGAGAUUAGUACAAAGACCUGUAAU
rnacentral:lncRNA from 10 species